AUUGAACGCUGGCGGCAUGCCUUACACAUGCAAGUCGAACGGCAGCACGGGUGCUUGCACCUGGUGGCGAGUGGCGAACGGGUGAGUAAUACAUCGGAACAUGUCCUGUAGUGGGGGAUAGCCCGGCGAAAGCCGGAUUAAUACCGCAUACGAUCUACGGAUGAAAGCGGGGGACCUUCGGGCCUCGCGCUAUAGGGUUGGCCGAUGGCUGAUUAGCUAGUUGGUGGGGUAAAGGCCUACCAAGGCGACGAUCAGUAGCUGGUCUGAGAGGACGACCAGCCACACUGGGACUGAGACACGGCCCAGACUCCUACGGGAGGCAGCAGUGGGGAAUUUUGGACAAUGGGCGAAAGCCUGAUCCAGCAAUGCCGCGUGUGUGAAGAAGGCCUUCGGGUUGUAAAGCACUUUUGUACGGAAAGAAAUCCUUGGCCCUAAUACGGUCGGGGGAUGACGGUACCGGAAGAAUAAGCACCGGCUAACUACGUG
rnacentral:rRNA from 1 species